GGCUAGUUACAGUGGUUCGGUUGCAUCGGAAAGGCACAACCACUUUAUUGGUAUUAGAUGUCCUAGGGUAAAGAUGAGGUUGGACCCAAUAACUGUUAGGUGAAAGAUUCAAUGAUGGCUUUGCACUCGCUGGUGAAUGGUGGGUCGGACUUAACUAAGAAAUAUGUCAAUAAUUUUAGGUGAGGCCACAGGAUUUAGAGAUCAAAUCGCUGUAACAUACUUGGAGA
rnacentral:lncRNA from 1 species